AUGGACCACGCAUGCGCUGCGGUUCCGGGCGCGCCGUCCGCAUCCACCUGACGACCACUGGCUACGUUUUGUUGGUC
rnacentral:sRNA from 1 species